GGGAAUGUGGCCUAGUGGUAGAGUGCUUGCCUAGCAAGCAAGAACCCCUGGGUUUGAUUCCUCAGUACCA
rnacentral:tRNA from 1 species